AGCCUGCUACAAAGUGAGUUCUAGUACAACCAAGGCUACACAGAGAAACCCUAUCUUAAAAACAAAAAAAAAAAAGCAAAACAAAGACUAUUAUCCUCCACCAAAUGAAAAUUUGGCCUUUACUGCAAACAGAUACUAUUCACCAGAGCUCCUGGGGAGUGUCCUGCUUUGUCUUGAGAAUGUUCUACCAAUGACAGAGAAAGAGAUUGAAGCCAGCUGUCAACUUCAGGAGAUCCAGGAAACAGGAAAGGGCAGGCAUGCGCCCUAUAGGCUGUGUACCACUAGGUUGAUAUUUUGAUGUGUUUGAAUUUUCUCCUGACUUUUGGUUAGACAUAAAUAAAGGAGGCGAUGAAAAUAAGACCUAAGAAGGCUGAAAGACAUAAUCUGUGUGGAUCAGAAAAGAGGACAGAGGCCAAGGUAGAGAAAGAUAGGGGGAAUCAAUAGAAAAGACAGAACAAAUGACAUGUAACUGUCGGUGAGUGUUGGCUGAAAUUUGGAGUAAGUUAAUAAUUAUGAUCUUAAAUAUAGAGAGAAGGUAAGAAGGGGACGAAUCAAGACAACCUCAGAAAGAUAAAGAUAAAAGAAGAAAGAAAACAAGAGUGUGAUGGUGGAGGAGGAAGAUCAGAAACUGAGAAAGACUUCAAAGCUGGAAAGAAGGGAACAAGGACAAUGUUGUGAACCUGAGGCCCCCAAAGAUCGAAUGACUCACCCCGGUCAAAGACCUGAUUACUAAUGAGAUUGGACAUCUUUUC